CGAGCCAGCCGUCGCGCCAGCUUCUUCGCUCCUCUCUCUCCAGCCAUGGGGCUCCCCAGUGGGCCUCUCGCGUCCCUCCUCCUACUCCUCCAGGCGCAGGUUUGCUGGCUGUCGUGCGCGGCCUCCGAGCCGUGCCGGGAGGGCUUCGGGGAGGCUGAAGUGACCUUGGAAGCGGGAGGCGCGGAGCUGGAGCCCGGCCGGGCACUGGGGACAGUAUUCCUGGGCUGCGCUGGUCAAGAGUCAGCUCAGCGUAGC